UGAAGGCCGAGGCUUUAACCCACUGAGCCACCCAGGCGCCCCGCUGGAAGGAAAAUUUAAAUAGAGUUGUGAUUCCCAACCUGCCACCAGCUCACUGGGUGGUCCUCCGCAAGUCACCUUUCUCUGGGCUUGGUGGGCUCCCACUGAUCCUUGGCUGGAAGGCCAGAAAUAGAGAAUCCACAGAGAUUCAGCUGAAGCCCUCACUACUUUGGACCGGGACCCUCAACUCUAGUAAUAAUGUGCACAUCUGAGACCUUUUGUGUGUCUAACUGUUUUGAGUUGCCAUCCUGCCCAUGGCUGGGAGUGACUGCACCAGUUUACAUUUGCAAUGACUGGACACCCGGGUUCUCUCUUCUCCACAUCCUUGCCAACGCUUGUUUUUUUUUUUUCUUGUCUUUUUGAUACUAGCCAUUC